rnacentral:rRNA from 1 species
ACGGCUCAGUAACACGUGGACAACCUACCCUUAGGUCUGGCAUAAACCUGGGAAACUGGGUAUAAUACCGGAUAGGGCUCGGAUGCUGGAAUGCACCGAGCCUUAAAGCCCCGGCGCCUAAGGAUGGGUCUGCGGCCUAUCAGGGUAGUAGUGGGUGUAAUGUACCUACUAGCCUACGACGGGUACGGGUCGUGAGAGCGAGAGCCCGGAGAUGGAUUCUGAGACACGAAUCCAGGCCCUACGGGGUGCAGCAGGCGCGAAAACUUUACAAUGCUGGAAACAGCGAUAGGGGGACUUUGAGUGCCAGGAUACAAUUCUGGCUGUCGUCGUGCCUAAAAAGCACGGCAUAGCAAGGGCCGGGCAAGACCGGUGCCAGCCGCCGCGGUAACACCGGCGGCUCGAGUGGUAACCGCUAUUAUUGGGUCUAAAGGGUCUGUAGCCGGCUGAAAAAGUCUCUUGGGAAAUCUGGCUGCUCAACAGUCAGGCUUUCAGGAGAUACUCUUCGGCUCGAGACCGGGAGAGGUGAGAGGUACUUCAUGGGUAGGGGUGAAAUCUUGUAAUCCUUGAAGGACCACCAGUGGCGAAGGCGUCUCACCAGAACGGAUCUGACGGCAAGGGACGAAAGCUAGGGGCACGAACCGGAUUAGAUACCCGGGUAGUCCUAGCCGUAAACGAUACUCGCUAGGUGUCAGCCACGGUGCGACCGUGGUUGGUGCCGUAGGGAAGCCGUGAAGCGAGCCACCUGGGAAGUACGGCCGCAAGGCUGAAACUUAAAGGAAUUGGCGGGGGAG